rnacentral:tRNA from 1 species
GGGGAUAUAGCUCAUUGGCACAGUGCCUGCCUGGAAAGCAGGAGGUCAUGAGUUCGACUCCUAGUACCA